rnacentral:lncRNA from 1 species
AGGGUGGGGUUUAGGAUUUAGGGUUUAGGGUUUAGAAUUUAGGGUUUAGAAUUUAGGGUUUAGGGUUUAGAUUUUAGGGUUUAUGGUUUAGGGUUUAGGGUUUAGGGUUUAGAGUUUAGGGUUUAUGGUUUAGGGUUUAGGGUUUAGGGUUUAUGGUUUAGGGUUUAGGGUUUAGAGUUUAGGGUUUAAGGUUUAGAGUUGAGAAAUGAGGUUUUGGGGAUAAGAUUUCAAAUUUUG